AGCUCCAAUAGCGUAUAUUAAAGUUGCUGCAGUUAAAAAGCUCGUAGUUGACAUUCGGCGCUCGUCUCGGUGGUCCUGUUCACGCAGGCACUGCCUUGACGGCCUCUACACACUGGCUUAAGGUCGUGCAGGCUGGGCAACUGGCAGCACGUACCAUAGCCCCGGGUGCCCUUCAUUGGGUGCCCGUGGGUGGCCUUUGCGUUUACUUUGAAGAAAUUAGAGUGUUCAAAGCAGGCAUUCAUCGUGCCCGAAUACAUGAGCAUGGAAUAAUGGAACAGGACUACGGUCACUGCACUUUUUCCGUUGGUUUCGGAGGACCGAAGUAAUGAUUAAGAGGGACAGUUGGGGGCAUCCGUAUUUCGUAGUCAGAGGUGAAAUUCUUGGAUCUGCGAAAGACGAA
rnacentral:rRNA from 1 species